rnacentral:rRNA from 1 species
UACGUAGGGGGCUAGCGUUGUCCGGAAUCAUUGGGCGUAAAGCGCGUGUAGGCGGUCCGGUAAGUCCGCUGUGAAAGUCGGGGGCUCAACCCUCGAAUGCCGGUGGAUACUGUCGGGCUAGAGUGCGGAAGAGGCGAGUGGAAUUCCGUGGUGUAGCGGUGAAAUGCGCAGAUAUCAGGAGGAACACCAAUUGCGAAGGCAGCUCGCUGGGACGUAACUGACGCUGGAGACGCGAAAGCGUGGGGAGCAAACAGG